GCAAGUCGAACGAGAAUCAAUCCUUCGGGGUGGAGGAAAGUGGCGCACGGGUGAGUAACACGUGGGUAAUCAACCCCUAACAUUGGGACAACUCGGGGAAACUCGAGCUAAUACCAGAUGUCGCGUUCGGGUCUUCGGGCCUGAACGUAAAAGGAUCAAUCCGGUAAGGGACGAGCUCGCGGCCCAUCAGCUAGUUGGAGAGGUAAUGGCUCACCAAGGCUAAGACGGGUAGCUGGUCUGAGAGGAUGAUC
rnacentral:rRNA from 1 species